UAAAUCGAGAAUGGUCAUUUUAACACAAAAUUAUCAUAGAUUAUGUUAUAUAUGCAUUUAUUUUUUCAAAGUUUUAUAUUCAGUAUAUUAAGAAUGUAAUUUUUUGUUUUAAAUUACUUGCAUUCUUUAAUUUUAUAGGUCCAUUCAAAAACUUGGUGAAUUAAAUAUUGGAAUGGAUAGUCUUGGUAAUGAGGUAUCAGUGCUCAACCAGCAGUGUAAUGGGAGCAAAGGCAAUGGAUCUAAUAGUUCUUCUAUGACUAGUUUUGCUACACCACCCCAAGACACCAGUCAGAGGUUAACGCGUGAUGCCUCAAAUAUUCUCACAAGUACUCCCCAAAACCCUGGAUCAACAAAUCACAUCCCUUUGCUUGAGGAGUCACCUUCUGGAAACCAAAUCUCUACAGAACAUUCAGUCACUAAGCCAUCCCUUGGAGAUUCUUCAGGGAGUCUUUCACGGUCAAGAGGGGAAGAGGUAAUACUUGGGGAAGCAGCGUUUAGUGUUUUCAUCUAUACUUGCAAAUGUUGUCAAGUAAUUCUUACUUCAAAUAAACCAUUUUUAGAAAAGGUCUGUCUGUCUUUUCUCUCUUUUUCUUUCUUCUUUCUUUCUUUCUUCCCCNNNNNNNNNNNNNNNNNNNNNNNNNNNNNNNNNNNNNNNNNNNNNNNNNNNNNNNNNNNNNNNNNNNNNNNNNNNNNNNNNNNNNNNNNNNNNNNNNNNNAUUUUUUGGUAUGGGGGAUUGAACUCUUUGCACUUGCAAGGCAGGCAGCAGAACCACUGAGCUAAAUCCCUGGCCCUAGAACUUAAAUUUUAAAUUCAAAUUUAAAUUUUUAUCAAUAUAAUAUGCAUACAUGGUUUUAAAAAACAAGUAGUACCCAAAGGCUUAAAAUAAAACAAUCAUCUAUCCUACCCAACUUUGUCCAUUUUAAAAAUUUCCUGUUAGUUGCUAUUUUCAAGCCAUUUGUGUGUUUCUUUUGCUGUAUAUUUCCACAUUUCUGAAUAACAUGCUUCUGUUACCACUUUUAUUAUCCAGUGAUUCCCUAUCCUCUUUACCCACAUUAUACUUUGUCUACUUCUUUCAUAUGUAUGUAUAUAUUUUUUUUCUUCAAAUCACUAUUCAGUGUUAACGUUACUAUGUCCUUGUGAUUAUUAUUUACAGCUGGGUCAUAUAGUAUAGUUACAUUUCCUUCUCAUACAACUACUUAUUAUAUGAAAUUGCCUUAAUUUGGUGUAAACACAUGCUUAAUUUCUUAGUAUCUGUUUUUAUACUCUGCAAAUGCUUUGACAACUAUAAAAAUCAUAAAACUUCUCUCAUUGUAGUAAAAAAAAAGUCCAGUAAUUUCUUCAUUUCAUUUCUUUCCUCCUGGGAGAUUUCUCUCCAGGAUCAUUCUUGCUUCACUUUAUAUUUAUGGCUCCUAGACCAUUUCAUACAGGCCUGGAGAAUCCUGGCCUCACCAUCUUUUUCUGGGAUUUCUUUUGCCUCUUCCCUGUGUUGGAGCCUGUUUGUAGGAUCUCUCAGUUUACUGAAAAGGGAUAUAUCAUAGGUAAAGUUUCUGAGACCUUGCUGUCUAAAAAUGUGUUCAAUGUAUGUCAUACUUGAUUUGUUAGUACAGAAUUCUAGGAUGGAAAUCAUCCCUCAGUAUUUCAAAAGGCACUGCUACAGGAUCUUCUAAUCUCUUGUUUUUUUGUUUUGGAUUUCUUUGCAGUACUGGGAUUGAACUGAGGACUUCACACGUACUAGGCAAGUGGUCUACCACUAAGCUACAUCUCUACGAAUCCCCCUUUUUGGAGACAUAGUCUCAGUUGCUCAGGCUUCAGUAUUCUUUUUAAGUGGUCUGAUGCUAUCUUAAUUUUUGAUCCUUUGCAUGAGGCCUGUUGCUUUUUCUGUUUUGGAAUUUUUCAAGUCUUCCUUUUUCCUGAUAUCUGUGUGAAGUAUAUCAUGUGAAAGUAAUCUGUUUUCUUUCAUUCUGAAUAGUAUUCCGAAGUAUUCAUGCUGAAUACUUCACAGACUUUUUAAAGCUGGAAACUUAAAUUUUGAGAAAUUGAAUGUAUUAUUGAAAAAUUAUUUCUUCAUCUUCAUUUUCAAUUAAUUUUUUUCUGCCAUCAUAUUUUCUUUUUCUAAGAGCUCUUAUACUCUAAAUUUUUCUUUUUAAAAAAAUAGCUUAUGGGGCUGGGGAUUUAGCUCAGUGUUUCCACCGCCUGC
rnacentral:lncRNA from 1 species